UGUUGUUCAGGAGGUCAUGGAGACGCCU
rnacentral:piRNA from 1 species